AAAUUUAAAAUCUGACAGUGUUCACUGUCCGAAUUGUAGCCUAGAGAAGUGUUACCCGUGCUGGACCAUGUAUAAGUCUCCUGGGAUGGAGCGUCACAGAGGGUGAGAAUCCCGUGUUUGACAUGGACUACCAGUGCAUUGUGGUAUGCUCUCAAAGAGUUGAGUUGUUUGGGAUUGCAGCUCUAAAUGGGUGGUAAAUUCCAUCUAAAGCUAAAUAUUGGCGAGAGACCGAUAGCGAACAAGUACCGUGAGGGAAAGAUGAAAAGAACUUUGGAAAGAGAGUUAAACAGUAUGUGAAAUUGUUGAAAGGGAAACGCUUGAAGUCAGUCGCAUUGGUUUGGGAUCAAGUCGGCUCUUUUGCUGACUGUACUUCCUUACCAAUGGGUCAACAUGAGUUUUGACCACUAGAGAAAGGCUUUGGGAAUGUGGCACCUUUUAAGGUGUGUUAUAGCCCUUGGUUGUAUGUAGUGGUUGGGACUGAGGAAAACAGCGUGCCGC
rnacentral:rRNA from 1 species